rnacentral:rRNA from 1 species
AGUGAACGCUGGCGGUAGGCCUAACACAUGCAAGUCGAACGGCAGCACAGUAAGAGCUUGCUCUUACGGGUGGCGAGUGGCGGACGGGUGAGGAAUACAUCGGAAUCUACUUUUUCGUGGGGGAUAACGUAGGGAAACUUACGCUAAUACCGCAUACGACCUACGGGUGAAAGCAGGGGAUCUUCGGACCUUGCGCGAUUGUAUGAGCCGAUGUCGUAUUAGCUAGUUGGCGGGGUAAAGACCCCCCAUGGCGACGAUCCGUUGCUGGACUGAGAGUAUGGUCGGCCACACUGGAGCUUGGACACGGACCAGACUCCUACGGGAGGCAGCAGUGGGGAAUAUUGGGCAAUGGGGGGAAGCCUGAUCCAACCAUACCGCGUGGGUGAAGAAGGCCUUCGGGUUGUAAAGCCCUUUUGUUGGGAAAGAAAAGCAGCAGGUUAAUACCCCGCUGUUCUGACGGUACCCAAAGAAUAAGCACCGGCUAACUUCGUG